AAAGGGUGCGCAGGCGGCCGUGUGUGUCAGGUGUGAAAGCCCGGAGCUUAACUCCGGAAUUGCGCCUGAAACUACAUGGCUAGAGCAUUGGAGAGGGUAGCGGAAUUCACGGUGUAGCAGUGAAAUGCGUAGAUAUCGUGAGGAACACCAGAGGCGAAGGCGGCUACCUGGACAAUUGCUGACGCUCAGGCACGAAAGCGUGGGGAGCAAAAGGGAUUAGAUACCCUUGU
rnacentral:rRNA from 1 species